rnacentral:lncRNA from 1 species
ACCCAAUCCAAGUCGGUUUAUGACUUGUAUAAUAUAAAUAUAACGUCCUAAACUCCAUUUUAAUCAUCUUGGGACCUCUUGGAAACCCUAGAUCAACUUGGAACAUCAUUAGAGGAUACCAAAACUUAUUUUUAGGUUUUUUCAUUCUUUAAUUUAGUUUUUUUUAUGGUUUGUAUCAUCAUUCCAAGGAAUUGGAUGAUGAAUAUUUCCAUUAAAGGCUAAAACCCUCUUUCCGG